rnacentral:rRNA from 1 species
UGAGUAACCUGCCCUUAACUCUGGGAUAAGCCUGGGAAACUGGGUCUAAUGCCGGAUAUGACUCCUCAUCGCAUGGUGGGGGGUGGAAAGCUUUUUGUGGUUUUGGAUGGACUCGCGGCCUAUCAGCUUGUUGGUGAGGUAAUGGCUCACCAAGGCGACGACGGGUAGCCGGCCUGAGAGGGUGACCGGCCACACUGGGACUGAGACACGGCCCAGACUCCUACGGGAGCAG